GACGAACGCUAGCGGCAGGCUUAAUACAUGCAAGUCGAGGGACAGCACAGGUAGCAAUACUGGGUGGUAACCGGCAAACGGGUGCGGAACACGUACACAACCUUCCUUUAAGUGGGGGAUAGCCCAGAGAAAUUUGGAUUAAUACCCCGUAAUAUAGUUGAAUGGCAUCAUUUGAUUAUUAUAGCUACGGCGCUUAAUGAUGGGUGUGCGGCUGAUUAGAUAGUUGGCGGGGUAACGGCCCACCAAGUCUACGAUCAGUAGCUGAUGUGAGGACAUGAGCAGCCAGAAGGGCAAUGAGACACGGGCCCGACUCCUACGGGAGGCAGCAGGAAGGAAUAUUGGUGAAUGGACGCAAGUCUGAACCAGCCAUGCCGCGUGAAGGAUUAAGGUCCUCUGGAUUGUAAACUUCUUUUAUUUGGGACGAAAAAGGGCCUCUCUAGGUCAACUGACGGUACCAGAUGAAUAAGCACCGGCUAACUCCGUGCCAGCCGCCGCCGUAAAAC
rnacentral:rRNA from 1 species